UACGUAGGGGCCUAGCGUUGUCCGGAUUUAUUGGGCGUAAAGAGCUCGUAGGCGGUUUGGUGAGUCGGGUGUGAAAUCUCCACGCUCAACGUGGAGGAGCCACCCGAUACUGCCAUGACUAGAGUCCGGUAGGGGAGUGUGGAAUUCCCGGUGUAGCGGUGAAAUGCGCAGAUAUCGGGAGGAACACCAGUAGCGAAGGCGGCUCACUGGCCCGAUACUGACGCUGAGGCGCGAAAGCGUGGGGAGCAAACAGG
rnacentral:rRNA from 1 species